rnacentral:misc_RNA from 1 species
UAAUCCUUUAAUUCUAUCCAGAGAGAUAGACAAGGAGCAAGUAAAAAGAUGGGUGGAGUGUAAGCAAGUGCGUCUUGUUUUAGCUUGCCUGACUAGAUUUUUCUGAAGUCUCCUUGUAAUAAGGAGACUUUUUCUUGU